AGCAGCCGCGGUAAUUCCAGCUCCAAUAGCGUAUAUUAAAGUUGUUGCAGUUAAAAAGCUCGUAGUUGAAUUUCGAGACCGGCUUACUGGUCGUGCUAUUGUACGUACUGGUAUAAUCGGUUUCUCCUUUCUGACGAACUUUAAUGCCAUUAAUUUGGUGUUUUAGGGAAUCAGGACUGUUACUUUGAAAAAAUUAGAGUGUUUAAAGCAGGCUCACGCUUGAAUACAUUAGCAUGGAAUAACGGAAUAGGACGUUUGAUUCUAUUUUGUUGGUUUCUAGGAUCGACGUAAUGAUUAAUAGGGAUAGUUGGGGGCAUUAGUAUUCAAUUGUCAGAGGUGAAAUUCUUGGAUUUAUUGAAGACUAACUACUGCGAAAGCAUUUGCCAAGGAUGUUUUCAUUAAUCAAGAACGAAAGUUAGGGGAUCGAAGACGAUCAGAUACCGUCGUAGUCUUAACCAUAAACUAUGCCGACUAGGGAUCGGAUGAUGUUAAUUUUUAAUGACUCAUUCGGCGCCUUACG
rnacentral:rRNA from 1 species